rnacentral:rRNA from 1 species
GUGGGGAAUAUUGGACAAUGGGCGAAAGCCUGAUCCAGCCAUGCCGCGUGUGUGAAGAAGGUCUUCGGAUUGUCAAGCACUUUAAGUUGGGAGGAAGGGCAGUAGGUUAAUACCUUGCUGUUUUGACGUUACCGACAGAAUAAGCACCGGCUAACUUCGUGCCAGCAGCCGCGGUAAUACGAAGGGUGCAAGCGUUAAUCGGAAUUACUGGGCGUAAAGCGCGCGUAGGUGGUUUUGUAAGUUGGAGGUGAAAUCCCCGGGCUCAACCUGGGAACUGCCUCCAAAACUGCAUGACUAGAGUACGGUAGAGGGUAGUGGAAUUUCCUGUGUAGCGGUGAAAUGCGUAGAUAUAGGAAGGAACACCAGUGGCGAAGGCGACUACCUGGACUGAUACUGACACUGAGGUGCGAAAGCGUGGGGAGCAAACAGGAUUAGAAACCCCGGUAGUCC